rnacentral:tRNA from 1 species
GGAAAGAUGUCCGAGUGGUCGAUGGUGUAGUAUUGGAAAUGCUAUGUAAACUUUAGUUUACCGAGGGUUCAAAUCCCUCUCUUUCCG